UCUAACAGAUUCUGGAGACAUCUUCAAAAUACCACAGCGUGAAUUCUCUUGUUUUUUACAGCAAGAAUUUCUGUCUCCUGUCUAAGCUGCUACGUCUAACUUGGAUGGAAUUCUACCAUCAGGAGUGAUCCAGACAGACAACAUUCCACUGUUCUGAGCUGCAAAAGCUGGUCAAAUUGCUUGUAACUACAGUGUCUCAUCUGCUUCAUGAGGAAAGGAAGGAUCAGAGAAGGCUUGAGGCUGGACUACAGCAUUGAGAAAGAGCCCCAUGAUAGGAAGGUUGAAGAUUCCAGCCAUGCCAGAAGGAGAAUGGAGGUCACUGAACAACCCCCACCUGCUGGAAGAAUGUGUGCUCAUUGCAGCACCAAACCUUCCUCUUCACUUCUCUUGACCUGCACAAAUCAGGGACAGUCCUUGGGUGCUCUACCUGGGACACUGCAGCUGGAGCC